GACGAACGCUGGCGGCGUGCUUAACACAUGCAAGUCGAACGGAAAGGCCCUGCUUUUGUGGGGUGCUCGAGUGGCGAACGGGUGAGUAACACGUGAGUAACCUGCCCUUGACUUUGGGAUAACUUCAGGAAACUGGGGCUAAUACCGGAUAGGAGCUCCUGCUGCAUGGUGGGGGUUGGAAAGUUUCGGCGGUUGGGGAUGGACUCGCGGCUUAUCAGCUUGUUGGUGGGGUAGUGGCUUACCAAGGCUUUGACGGGUAGCCGGCCUGAGAGGGUGACCGGCCACAUUGGGACUGAGAUACGGCCCAGACUCCUACGGGAGGCAGCAGUGGGGAAUAUUGCACAAUGGGCGGAAGCCUGAUGCAGCAACGCCGCGUGCGGGAUGACGGCCUUCGGGUUGUAAACCGCUUUCGCCUGUGACGAAGCGUGAGUGACGGUAAUGGGUAAAGAAGCACCGGCUAACUACGUGCCAGCAGCCGCGGUGAUACGUAGGGUGCGAGCGUUGUCCGGAUUUAUUGGGCGUAAAGGGCUCGUAGGUGGUUGAUCGCGUCGGAAGUGUAAUCUUGGGGCUUAACCCUGAGCGUGCUUUCGAUACGGGUUGACUUGAGGAAGGUAGGGGAGAAUGGAAUUCCUGGUGGAGCGGUGGAAUGCGCAGAUAUCAGGAGGAACACCAGUGGCGAAGGCGGUUCUCUGGGCCUUUCCUGACGCUGAGGAGCGAAAGCGUGGGGAGCGAACAGGCUUAGAUACCCUGGUAGUCCACGCUGUAAACGGUGGGUACUAGGUGUGGGGUCCAUUCCACGGGUUCCGUGCCGUAGCUAACGCUUUAAGUACCCCGCCUGGGGAGUACGGCCGCAAGGCUAAAACUCAAAGGAAUUGACGGGGCCCCGCACAAGCGGCGGAGCAUGCGGAUUAAUUCGAUGCAACGCGUAGAACCUUACCUGGGUUUGACAUGGAUCGGGAGCGCUCAGAGAUGGGUGUGCCUCUUUUGGGGUCGGUUCACAGGUGGUGCAUGGCUGUCGUCAGCUCGUGUCGUGAGAUGUUGGGUUAAGUCCCGCAACGAGCGCAACCCUUGUUCACUGUUGCCAGCACGUUAUGGUGGGGACUCAGUGGAGACCGCCGGGGUCAACUCGGAGGAAGGUGGGGAUGACGUCAAGUCAUCAUGCCCCUUAUGUCCAGGGCUUCACGCAUGCUACAAUGGCUGGUACAGAGAGUGGCGAGCCUGUGAGGGUGAGCGAAUCUCGGAAAGCCGGUCUCAGUUCAGAUUGGGGUCUGCAACUCGACCUCAUGAAGUCGGAGUCGCUAGUAAUCGCAGAUCAGCAACGCUGCGGUGAAUACGUUCCCGGG
rnacentral:rRNA from 1 species